rnacentral:rRNA from 1 species
AGUGAACGCUGGCGGUAGGCCUAACACAUGCAAGUCGAACGGCAGCACAGUAAGAGCUUGCUCUUACGGGUGGCGAGUGGCGGACGGGUGAGGAAUACAUCGGAAUCUACUUUUUCGUGGGGGAUAACGUAGGGAAACUUACGCUAAUACCGCAUACGACCUACGGGUGAAAGCAGUGGAUCUUCGGACCUUGCGCGAUUGAAUGAGCCGAUGUCGGAUUAGCUAGUUGGCGGGGUAAAGGCCCACCAAGGCGACGAUCCGUAGCUGGUCUGAGAGGAUGAUCAGCCACACUGGAACUGAGACACGGUCCAGACUCCUACGGGAGGCAGCAGUGGGGAAUAUGGGACAAUGGGCGCAAGCCUGAUCCAGCCAUACCGCGUGGGUGAAGAAGGCCUUCGGGUUGUAAAGCCCUUUUGUUGGGAAAGAAAAGCAGCAGGUUAAUACCCCGCUGUUCUGACGGUACCCAAAGAAUAAGCACCGGCUAACUUCGUG